rnacentral:rRNA from 1 species
AUGGCACCUCACCUCCCAUGGCUCUUGCUCCAGUUCUUGCUACUACUUCUGGGGGUAUCAUCUGCUGCUCAAGCACAAGUGAACAUCACCUUGGGCUCCUCCUUGAAGCCCCAGGGGCCAAACAGCUCAUGGCUCUCGCCCUCCGGCGACUUCGCGUUCGGUUUCCGGCCACUGGAAGUUAACCCCUCCUCAUACCUCCUCGCCGUCUGGUUCGACAAGAUCCCUGAGAAGACAGUCGCUUGGUAUGCCAAGAGCAGCUCCGACGGUCAAGAGUCACCGGUGCAAGUGCCAUCCAGCUCCGUGCUGCAACUCACCACUGACGGGUUGCUCUCGCUUCGCAACCCAUCCGGCGAUGAAGUCUGGAGUCCUCGGGCCCCUGGUGUGGCCUACGCCAAAAUGCUCGACACGGGUGACUUCAUGCUUGUCGGCGCAGAUGGCACGGCAAAGUGGGAGACCUUUGGUGUCCCGGCUGAUACCAUCCUGCCCAUACAAGUGCUCCGUGUGGGUCCAGAGGACAAGCUACUCAGAAGCCGUCUCAUCAACACAGACUACUCCAACGGCCGGUUUCUCCUAGCUGUGCAAACUGAUGGCAGGAUAUACUUCACCUUGAAAAAUGUGACACAGAUCAAUGUUACUUCAGCAGGGGGCAACUCAAUGGGUGAUUUCUUCAAUCGUGCCACGCUUGAUCCAGAUGGUGUGUUUCGGCAGUAUGUGUACCCAAAGAGCAGAAAGGCCAGAAGUCUAUGGAGCUUGCAAUGGAAGGCGGUGAGCUCAAUCCCUGAGGACAUCUGCGAAACAGUAAUGGUAAAUGCAGGCAGUGGUGCAUGCGGCUUCAACAGCUACUGCACCUUUGAUGGCACCAAGAAUCAGACAAGCUGCCUAUGCCCUGAACAUUACAAGUUCUUCGAUGAGGAGAGGGAGUACAAAGGGUGCAGGCCUGACUUUGUGCCACAAAGUUGUGACCUUGAUGAGAUAGCAGCAAUGGCGCAGUUUGAGAUGACUACGAUCGAUCGUGUUGAUUGGCCUAACUGUGACUAUGAGCAAUACCGCCCCAUAGACGAGACAGAGUGCCGGAGGCUGUGUGUGAUUGAUUGCUUCUGUGCCGCAGCGGUCUUUGAUCCAAACACAAAAACCUGCUGGAAGAAAAAGCUCCCUUUAUCAAAUGGAAAUAUGGCACAAACUGUCCAGAGGACGGUUCUGAUCAAGGUGCCUAGGAGCAACAAUUCAGAGUCCCAGCUCAGCAGUGGCUCUAGCAAAUGGAAGAAGGACAAGAAGUAUUGGAUUCUUGGGAGUUCCUUGUUUUUUGGGAGUUCGGUAUUGCUAAACCUUCUCCUUAUCUCUAUUCUGCUCUUUGGCACUUACUGGGGUAUUUCCAUCACCUCAAAAAAGAAACUCCGGUCACCGCAAUCGUCAGGUAGUUCUAUAUUGCCCCCAAAACUUUUCACUUACAGUGAACUGGAGAAGGCAACCAGUGGUUUCCAUGAGGUGCUAGGCAGCGGUGCCUCUGGUACUGUGUACAAAGGAAAGCUGCAAGAUGAGCAUGCGACCAACAUUGCAGUCAAGAAAAUUGAAAAACUCCAGCAAGAGACUGAGAAGGAAUUCAUGGUGGAAGUGCAAACCAUCGGGCAGACGUUUCACAAGAACUUGGUCAGGCUGCUUGGCAUGUGCAACGAGGGAACUCACCGACUGCUAGUUUAUGAGUUCAUGACCAAGGGCUCGCUCAAUGAUUUCCUCUUCGGUGAUGCUCGGCCAGAUUGGAACCUCCGUGUGCAAGUCGCACUUGGAGUGGCACGAGGGCUUCUCUACUUGCAUGAAGAGUGCAGCACGCAGAUUAUCCACUGCGACAUAAAACCACAGAACAUCCUUCUCGAUGACAACUUCAUGGCAAAGAUAGCAGACUUUGGCCUGGCAAAGCUUCUUCGAGCCAAUCAGACACAAACAAACACCGGCAUCCGGGGCACUCGAGGUUACGUUGCCCCAGAGUGGUUCAAGAACAUAGCGAUCACUUCCAAAGUCGAUGUUUACAGCUUUGGUGUGAUCCUGCUGGAGCUUGUGUGCUGCAGGAGGAAUGUGGAGGUAGAGAUCGCCGACGAAGAUCUGGCGAUACUAACUUACUGGGCAAACGACUGUUACAGGUGUGGGAGGAUCAACUUGCUUGUGGAGGGUGACGAUGAAGCAAUCUUCAACAUAAAAAAGGCAGAGCGCUUCGUGGCUGUAGCACUUUGGUGCCUUCAGGAGGAGCCAACGAUGCGGCCAACCAUGCUUAAAGUGACACAAAUGCUUGAUGGAGCAGUCCAAAUCCCCAUACCUCCGGAUCCCUCUUCCUUCAUCAGUUCACUUCCGUAG